CUGAUGCAGCGACGCCGCGUGAGGGAUGACGGCCUUCGGGUUGUAAACCUCUUUCAGUAGGGAAGAAGCGAAAGUGACGGUACCUGCAGAAGAAGCGCCGGCUAACUACGUGCCAGCAGCCGCGGUAAUACGUAGGGCGCAAGCGUUAUCCGGAAUUAUUGGGCGUAAAGAGCUCGUAGGCGGUUUGUCGCGUCUGCCGUGAAAGUCCGGGGCUCAACUCCGGAUCUGCGGUGGGUACGGGCAGACUAGAGUGAUGUAGGGGAGACUGGAAUUCCUGGUGUAGCGGUGAAAUGCGCAGAUAUCAGGAGGAACACCGAUGGCGAAGGCAGGUCUCUGGGCAUUAACUGACGCUGAGGAGCGAAAGCAUGGGGAGCGAACAGGAUUAGAUACCCUGGUAGUCCAUGCCGUAAACGUUGGGCACUAGGUGUGGGGGACAUUCCACGUUUUCCGCGCCGUAGCUAACGCAUUAAGUGCCCCGCCUGGGGAGUACGGCCGCAAGGCUAAAACUC
rnacentral:rRNA from 1 species